CCAGAGUCAUGGAGAACUGCUUCCACAAGUUUCUCUUCUCCAACAACAACAGACUCAUGGAGAACUGCUUCCACAAGUUUCUCUUCUCCAACAACAACAGACUCAUGGAGAACUGCUUCCACAAGUUUCUCUUCUCCAACAACAGCAGACUCAUGGAGAACUGCUUCCACAAGUUUCUCUUCUCCAACAACAACAGGUACA